ensembl:lncRNA
CAGCUCCCAGCUUCAAUGCACUGGCAGCAAUAACAAUCCAAAAGCAAUUCAGGUUGGAUUUUACAAGCCUUUAAACACAUUAUCUCUGAUUCCAGUCAAAUCAUCACUCCUGGAUGAUAUUCCUAUAAGACACGGGGUGGAAUUCCAGUUUUGGGAGGCAGGAUGGCAGCAGGAAUGGACCCAGCAGGGUAUUUUGACAGGAGGUCAGGAGGAGAGGACUGAGACUGAGGAGGCCUCGAUGCUCUGCUGGGUUCCCCCAUCCCCAAACCAGGACAGGCUGGAGAACCAGCAGGAAAUUCUGCUCCUGCCCUGAGCUCAUCCCCCAGCGUGGGCAGCAGGAUGAGAAACAGAAUCCCCCCCCCCGCCCCUCUCAGGUGAAACCUCACCUGCAGAGCUCAGCCCUGCCAUCAACAUCAGGAGGAGCUGGAGCUGCUGGAGAGAGUCCAGAGGAGGCCACAGAGCUGCUCCAGGGCUGGGAGCAGAGUUUGGGUUUCCAGAGCUCCCAGAGACCCUUUCCAGCCUCCUCCUGCCCUUCCCAAGCAAAGACAUCCCAGACCAGGCUGGGAGAGCAAUUCCAAGGCUCCCCAGUGACCCUGGGCCAAAGAAGGCUCCAUGUGCUCAAACAUGGUGAAAUUGGAGCAGGGGAUGGAUUUGGAGAGGAAUGAAAGAUUUGAAAGAGAACAUUUAGCAUUUGAUGGGAGAUAAAAGACAGCACUCACCUCUACUGGGGAGUUUCAUUCGAUUUAAACUGGUUUUUCUGGGAUAUCAGCAGGAAUUCUGGGCUCAUGGACCAUGGGGCACUCCCCA